CACGUAGGGGGCAAGCGUUGUCCGGAUUUAUUGGGCGUAAAGAGCUCGUAGGCGGCUUGGUAAGUCGGGUGUGAAACCUCCAGGCUCAACCUGGAGACGCCACUCGAUACUGCUAUGGCUAGAGUCCGGUAGGGGAGCGUGGAAUUCCUGGUGUAGCGGUGAAAUGCGCAGAUAUCAGGAGGAACACCAGCGGCGAAGGCGGCGCUCUGGGCCGGAACUGACGCUGAGGAGCGAAAGCGUGGGGAGCGAACAGG
rnacentral:rRNA from 1 species